CUUGUCCUGUCACCUGUCAGCAGUGAGAAGAGACCUAACUCGGUCUCUCUGUAUGCACCUUUCAGGUAUUGGAAGAGAGCAAUAAAGUCUCCCUUCAGCCUCCUCUUUCCCCAGACUGAACAGCCCCAGUUCCUUCAGUUGCUCCUCAUAGGGCACAUUCUCCAAGCCUUUCACCAGCCUUGCUGCCCUUCUUUGGACCUGCUCCAGCACCUCCAUGUCCUUUCUGCACUGAGGUGCCCAAAACUGAACACAGUACUCAAAGUGAGGCCUCACCAGUGCUGAAUACAGGGCAAGGAUUACUUCCCUAGUCCUGCUCACCACACCAUUCCUGAUACAAGCCAGGAUGCCACUGGCCUGCUUGGCCACCUGGGCACACUGCUGGCUCAUAUUCAGCCAAAUGUCCAUCAGUACACCAAGGUCCCUUUCCAUCAGGCAGCUUUCCAGGCACUCCUCCCCAAGCCUGUAGGGUUGGCUGGGGUUGUUGUGACCAAAAUGCAGGACCCGACACUUGGCCCUAUUGAAACUCAUGCCAUUAACCUUGGCCCAUCGAUCCAGUCUAUCGAGGUCCCUCUGUAGUGCCCUUCUCCCUUCCAGCAGAUCAAAACUCUCUCCCAGCUUGGUGUCAUCUCCAAACUUACUGAAGGUGCACUCAAUCCUCUCAUCAAGAUCAUCAAUGAAGAUGUUAAACAGAAGCAGCCCCAGCACUGAGCCUUGGGGGACACCGCUUGUGACCGGCCGCCAACUGGAUUCAAC
ensembl:lncRNA